ensembl:lncRNA
CUGAAACAAAAAACCAAGCCUUCAGUGGCUCCCUUCUCAGCUCCAUAUCUGGAAUACUGAACGACACCCCCCCGAGUAGCGUAGCCUUUGAAGAGGCACAGUGGACCCCUCUGUCACUGUGGAACUCUUCCCUGAGCCCUGUCUCAGGCCUGAAGCCACGCCCUGUCACUGAUCCUUUAGCUUUAUCGCAGAACUUAAAACCAGUGUUAACCUCUGUCACUCAAUAUGUUAGUCCCUCAACAGCACCGGAUGACCCCCGAUUCACACUUUCCACCAUUCUGAUUACCCAGUACCCUUACUUUAACCCAGCUGUAUCUAGUCAAAGAACCGAUGAAGCAGACACUGAAAGCCCUGCAGGUGUCCCCCAGUCUGUUGUCACGGCAGAGCCUGUACUGACUCCGCUUAACCUGGCUUCUCACAUAGAGGAAACUACAAUAAUGAGAGAAGAGCUGCUCUCUAAAAUGUCAGAAAGUCGCCCGAUUCUGACAGAGUACGCUACUCAAAACCGAUUCCCAUACGCAAAAAUGUCACCCCCAGCAUUGCCUAAAUAUUUGAAAACCGUAACCCCCGACAUUGGCCGACCUUCCACAGAUAGCCUGGAACCCAAUGGACAUCGUGCACACCUUUCUCCUGGCUCAUCAAACCCAGCGGACACGCCUUUGUCCUCAGUGAUGCCAAGUUGGAGUCGGCAGACCUUUGAGGGAAACACAUCUGUCACAUAUUCUGAAGCGCCGCCAAAGCCAAAGAGCUUGAAAUCAGAUAGUCUGAAGGCUUCUGUUUCCCCCCCUCCCCUGUUGGAUGGGGCAAACCCAGCGCUAGAAGAGUACAUGUCACUCCGUAACGCAGCUGAUGACACUGUGACUAUUUCACCCAUCACCUCCCUCUCAUCUACCCAUAAUAACAGGUAUCCUGCAUCAGAGCAGAAUGUAGGCGUUAGCAAGACAGAGUCUGUCACUGUUUCUGAACCAGAUGUUCUAAUUACCCCUGUACCCCAUAAACAUGUAACUAUGGAUACGGCACAUACUGAGUUCACUAUAAGAGCGGUAUCCCCACUAGACCUGUCCUCAUUACCAUCAUCAUUAAGGUCCUCAUCUUCUUCACCUCACUCCUCAUCGGCAGUAGCAUCAUCCGUCAUCUCAAACCUGUCUGAAUCCAGCUGGGUUUACAGUCCCUCAACCACUGCCAGCCUGUCAUCCCUCUCCAGGGAACGUCCUCAUUCCACAUCAUCCUCCACGGAUCGUCCUCAUUCAACAUCAUUCUCCUCUUCUGGCUUGAGUUUGAGUAUGGUGUUGCCAGCCACACUAUCAUCAUCGCCGUUACCAUCAAGUGUCUUCCUCUCUACUGGUAUGAUGUCAUUACCCCCUGGAGUUACGUCACCUGAUCUCACAUCAUCAUCCGCUGUCCGCUUGUCUGCAGGUAUGACGUCGUCAUCCUCCGUCCUCAUGUCCGAGGGUGUUACAUCAUCAUUCGUUACCCCGGCAUCCAGUGUGACCCCAUCAGUUCCUUUCCCUCUGCCAGAGGAAGUGAGUGGGACAUCUGCUCUUGUUACAGAGAUAGCGAUGGAGGAGUUAACCGCGGGAACAUCAAGAGAAAAGACCAGUUCAUUCCAAACAGGGAACCUCACCGGGCCGGCCCUCCCAACAUCACAGGGGACUUCUCAGGAAGACACGACCGUGUCCCUCCAGCUCACCACCGUGACCACCACAACUGUAUCUGCGACCGCAGCCGCCACACGUCCUACCAUCACGACCGCAAGCACAGCGACCACACCGCCAGCCACUACAGGGAACCCAGCUGCCACAAUAACACGCAGAACUACAACCACGACCACCACUGCGGCUCCAGUUGCCAGGCGAACGCUGUCGCCUCCAACCCCUCCGAGAGGGUCCACCUACAGCCUGUUCACCCCCUUCCCCUUUACCACCACUACAGAGGCUCCGCCACGGCAGUGCAACGUCACAGAGAAGAUGUGGGUGAAGUCAAUUCUGACCAUCCAUGUGAGGAGGAACCGCCUGGACAGCAUCCAGAGGCAGAACCUGCGCAGAGGGCUGAGCCAGGCUCUGAAGAGGGCUCUAAACGACACUACGGCCCAGGCUCAGGCUUGAAUUUAUUUGGAGAUACCUAAUUGCCGACCGAAUUGCUUGACAACUCACGUUUCAGUAACACAGAUUGUUGGACACGGUACCUCUGCCAUGGUCACAUAAUUGGUACUGAAGCACAGCAGGAGGCAUUAGGGAAGAAUUUAAAAACCCCAGUGCUGUUGGCUAAACUUGAUUACCACACACAUCUGGUGUUUGACUGUAGUUGGAAGGGAAUCAGAGGCUAAUGCUGGUGAUCUAGGCUGACUGUGACAAGCAAUGAGGAUUCAUUUAGAAAUUAGGUUGACUGAACUUGUCCCUGAGCUUAUGGGUUGGUGAUGUCAAAUAUCCUGGGGACUGCACCAAGUUGAGAACCAGCGAUGUGGAGCGUGCAACCACAGGAGAGGAAUCAAGGGCUGUGUCAAUCAUGACUGGUUCUCUAGUUUCCUGGGUCUGAGGAGUCUGCAGAAUAGACCGACAUGGACGCCAGUCUGCCAGUUCCUCCACUGUUGAUUUCUGAUGAAAACAUCUUCAGAAAAGAAACUUUUUCUAAACAUUGAAAACAAUUAUAAUUGUUUCCCAUUACAGUAUUUCUCAAUUGUUUGUUUCCACGCAAAACCGUUAACACGCAG